AAAGUACUCCCUCCGUCCCAAAAUUCUUGUCUUAGAUUUGUCUAGAUACGGAUGUAUCAAGUCACAUUUUAGUAUUAGAUAUAUCCGUAUCUAGACAAAUCUAAGACAAGAAAUUUGGGAUAGAGGGAGUAGUUG
rfam:Triticum aestivum genome assembly, contig: Triticum_aestivum_CS42_TGACv1_scaffold_441285_5DL